CGGGGGCCCAGGGUGGAGAGCACGAGGGCCUGGCCCAGGCACGGCCGGCGCCUCCGCCCUCGAGGAGGGCGUCACCUCAGCUCCCCCCGGCGGCGGAGCCGGCGGGCUCAGGCGGGCGCGGCUGAGGGGAGCGGACCGCGGGGGGCGGGAGAUGACUGCGCCCAAGGCCUUUGCGGGCCUCAGCCGGCCCCAGAGGAAGGGGAACCCGUCGAGCGGUUUGGUGCGUGUGAAGCGCGACAUGGCGAGGAAGCGGACAAGCCCGGGUGGCCCGGCGUGUAGAGGGAAGGGGGCGGGGCUAGACGCGGCCUGGACAACUACUAGAGCGCCUCGGGCUGUGCUGCUCGAGACUACAUUUCCCAGAGCGACGCGCGCGGAGCGGGCGGGAAAGAGAGCGUUUCGGGUCCAGUGCGCAGGUGCGAAAGCCAUCUUUGGUUAUAUAAGGGAGGUUCAGGAAGCCAUUCGUUCUUUCGCGUCUGCGGUGCCCGGAGUGUGGUACUUCUCCUAGUUGCAGUCAGGCUUCAUACGCUAUUGUCCUGCCCGUUAGAGCAGCCAGCGGGUACAGAAUGGAUUUUGGAAGAGGGAGUCACCACUGGACCUCCAAGGAAGCCACGUGCAGACAUCUACAACCUUCGAUCUCCUGACGAGUUUAUUGUUGGCCAAAACCAGGCUUUGAUUGAACCAGGAUGAAUGCGGGUGUUGGAAGUAGAAUAUAUAUAUACAUAUAAAAUUGAAACUGGCGAUGGAAUAUGAGAGGAGCCCUCUGGAAAGAAAAGGACAGACCCUGUGCUUUCAUGAAAGUGAAGAUCUGGCUGAACCAGUUCCACAAGGUUACUGUAUACAUAGCCUGAGUUUAAAAGGCUGUGCCCACUUCAAGAAUGUCAUUGUUAGACUUUGAAAUUUCUAACUGCCUACCUGCAUAAAGAAAAUAAAAUCUUUUAAAUCAA
rnacentral:lncRNA from 1 species